AUUAAGGGCAUUCGAAGGAUGCCUUGGCGUAGAAAGGCGAUGAAGGACGUAACAGGCUGCGAUAAGCCUCGGGUAGCUGCCAAUAAGCUUUGAUCCGAGGAUUUCCGAAUGGGAAAACCCACCCUCUUUUAGGGGGUAUCCUUAACUGAAUACAUAGGUUAAGGAGGCAAAACUCGGUGAACUGAAAUAUCUAAGUAACCGAAGGAAAGGACAUCAAUUGAGACUUCCCUAGU
rnacentral:rRNA from 1 species